GCUGUUGCUGAUGCUGUGUACCUUCCACUCCAUGCCUUAAACCCAAAGUUAGAGACACAGGCCCAAGCCCGCCAACCUCAAGCCCGCCGCGCCGGUAUGGCAUAAAACCCAUCAAUGUCUCAUCCAUGCUUGGUGCAGGGACAAUUGCAUGAGUAGUACUGCCAAACUUGCUCAUAUGUUGAUCAACUCCGGCGUGGUUGUUACCUUGGUCAGCGGCGGAAGCUCCCUCGUUUUUGCUCGAGUUCUGGUGGUUUUCUGUUGUGGUGCCUUUAGUUUCAAGCAUGUGGAUUUCCUCAACCAUUGGCUUCCACACUCGGACUCGAGCAUUAAUGAACCAAUUUGAAACCUAUGUAAAUCAGUUAAUUACAUCAUUAUUCUAACAGUGUAUAAAAAUCCAAACAGCUUGAAAGAAUGCACAAUUGGCAACUGCCUAGUGUUUACACCUCAUGUAUGUGUACAAUCCUAACUUCACACAUUCAAGUAAUUUGAGUCAUUAGAUUAAGACAA